GCGCUGUUGGUGUAGUGGUAACACACAACCGGCAACUUAUAUUUCCAAAAAUCACCCGUAUGAGGUUGGUCCCGGGUUCGAGCCCAGGACAGCGCA